GAUCAGAAUAGGUUUAUUAUGAGGAAUGUGAAGGGACCAGUCAGAGAAGGAGACAUCCUCACCCUGCUCGAGUCUGAGAGGGAGGCCAGAAGGUUGCGUUGAUGGGUUCAUCUUUGUUCCCACAUCCAUAUUUUGGUGGCUCGAUUAUGAGUUUUGUAGUGGCAGCUAGUAUAUGACUAUGACUGUUUUAUCCUGAGUUAUGUUGAAGCUCGAUUACGAAUUUCUUGGUUUUUAAAGUUCAAAUGUAGUGUGAAGAUUGUUAUCUUUCUGGAACACUUAAAAUUUACUUGUUUUGGAAUGCAUUGGCUUGAUCGAUGACAGUAGUUUCUACUGUGAGUAUGAUAUAGGGUAUGUGAAUGUUAUGGGGAUUUUUAUAUGGUAUUGUGGACAUAUGAGCUAAUACUAUGUUCUUCAAUCACUUCGGGCUCAUCAUGCAGCUGAUUUUGGAGUUGAAUGAGGUGAUUCCUUUUGGUGAAGAAUGGUGGUAAUGGUAUUGUGAGGCAUUGCUGCAUUUGUGCAAUUGUGCUUGUUUGGCAUAGCUAAUUUUAUUACUCUCUUUCUACUUCCAACUUAACAAAAUCCGAACUGGAAUUGAUACUGAGCUAUGAUUUGGCAGGUAUAUAUGGGAUUCAAUGCUGUUUAUUGCUUUCAUGGUUUCCAAGAUGUUCACCUAAAAUACUUGGGUUAAAGGUUUAGCAGCAGUGGCUAAAGUGGGGGUUAGGCUGUUGCGCGAAUAGUAAUAUUAAGGUUGGAAAUUUUAUUUAAAAUUGUUUUUCUCUCGGUAUUCCAAAUAAUAAAAAAAUUGUUUUUAAAAUUGUUUUUUGAUGUUUUGAUUUUGAUUUUGAUUUUUUUUUUAGAAUUUGAAAUGUUGUUGAUAUAGCAUUUUUAAAUAUUUUUAAAAAAUAAUAUUUAUUGUGCUAUUUUAUUUUUAAUUCCAUAUUUAGAUAAUUAUUUUUUAAAAGCAAUUCUUUAGAAAAUACUUUAUUUAAUAUUUUCAAUAGCAUAAAAUUAUUUUGUAUUUUUUUAAUCUUAAAAAUAAAAACUCUUUUUUAAAACCACGUUAUCAUUAAUUCACUAUUAAAACAUAAAUAAGAUCUCAACCGUUUAUUCGAUCCUAAUAUGAAUUUCUGGUGGUUUGAUGUUAGUUAUCAUCUAUUGGUGAUGGAAGUAGAGCACACUAACUGCAGUGGUGCGCGAUAUAUCACCGUGAUGGAUGAGAAUGACUAUGUUUCAAGCACAUUUCGACACUCUAACUACACGUACGAGGUCUCAAUUUGCAUUUAACAUGCAUGUAAUAAUGAAUUGACCAUCAAAUUUCUAACUCCAAUAUAAAAAUGUAGGAUAAAAUUCAUAUUUAUAAACUUGAUAAAAAAAAAUUAAAGGUUUGUUUGGCCACAUCCUUCUUAAACUUAUUUUUAAAAAUUGUUUCAUUUUCUUUACUUUUAAAAUUGAUGAAAACAACUCUUAUUUAUUGUCUAAAAAUUAUUUUUUAUUUGAUUUGAUUUUUAAAAUUUAUUUUCAAGAAUAAUGGUCAAACUCCGUUAUAAAAUUUAAAAAAAAAAGCUUUCUAUUUUUUAAAACAUAAUUUAAAAAAAAAUCACAUUAUGAAACAAACUCUAACCUAUAUAUUUAAUGCACUAAAUAUUUUACUAGUUUGUUCAAUUAAUAUACAUUUUACCAAUAUAAUUUUUUUUAUCGGACACCUUAUACUUGAAAAUAAAAAAUGAUAGAUAAUUUUUAAGCUACUAUUAAUGGAUUGAGCAAAAUGCUCCAAAAUAUAAAUAAAAUUUAAACAAAUAAUACAUGCAUAAAUUUUAUAUAAAUAAAUAGUGGGGUUCCUAUUUAGUCUCAAACCCAAUCAAAAUUACAAAUUUAAUUCAUACUUUUUUCGUUUUUUAUUUAUUUAUUUUUGUCUAGUUUAUCACCUUUUUUUUUCUAAAAAAACAUUUCUUUGGAAAACUUUAUAUAUUAAAAAUAUUAUACUAAAAAAAUUUAAGAAUUAAUUAAAAGGAUAAAAUAAUCCCAAAAUUUAUAAAUUUAACUUCUCCUAUAUUUUUAAAAAGUAAUCCAUUUUUUUACAAUUUCGAUUAUUCAUACGUAGAUUUUUUAUUUUUUUAAAAUUAAUUAAAAAAUAUAUAAAAAGAAGUUAUAUUUCCGAAUUUAGGUUUUCUCACCUAUUUGAUCAAAUAAUCCAAAAUUUAAAUAAAAUCCUAAAUGACUGAAGUAUCCAUCAUGCACCUGUUGGACAGAAUGGGCAAAUCAAUAAUUUCAAAUCCACAGACGCUAUAUAAAAUAUUAGGUUGGGGUUUUAGGGGUUCCUCUCCUCCGAAGCCGCCGUAAGUGCUCCAAGCCUCUCUUCUUCUCGUCGUCUUCUCUCUUCGCAGGUCUGUUGUUCUUCUCUUCUCCUUCAUUGCUGUAUGGUUUUUUGCUUUUGAUUUAUAGUUGUGCGAUUUAUAAAUGGUUUUCUGAUGUUCCUAAACAUUUAGGGCAAUGUGUGAUGCGAGUUGGACAAAAGUGGGUUUAAUAUUGGUAGGAACAGUUUGGAUGUGAUGAAUGAAGUUGGGAUUGGGUCGUAGAUUCUGUACAAAUUAAAUAUCAUACUUUAUCGAUGAUUUUACUGUUCAAACAAUUUUGGAUUUUUUAUUUAUUGGGAAUUUGUUUUAUGUCAGAUUUUAAUCUGUUUGUUUUGGUCUGUGGGAACUCUUGAAUAAAAAAUUUUGUAGGUGGAAAGGGAAAUAAUUGGAAGUGGGGAGAAGGUUAAGAAUGAAAAUGAUAAUUCAUUAAUUAAGAUGAAAAUCUUCCAUUGCAAAGCCCUGUGGGAUUGUAGUUGGGUUCCCAAUGAGUUGUUCUCCUUGUUUGGGUGUUGCAGAUCUUCUAAUAUAGGUUACUCUGAUUACUUACUGACCUAAUAUGAAAAUUAGGGCCUGUUUGGCUAUUGUUUUUAGAAAUAGCUUUCUUGUCCGGAAAUAGCUCUCCAGCAUCUAGAACAGGUUUGGUAAAUUUUGGAUUGAAACAAAUUUAUUGAAGAUUUGUUUUGAAAAUAGCCAAAUAGGGUGAUUUUUUUGGAAUAUAUUUUUGAUUUUUUUUAGGUGUUUUUCUGUGGAGUGUUGUUAGCAACAAUUAGAAACAUAGAGAAUAAAUCAGGAAUAUGACAUUGGAGAAUAGUUUGAGACAAUGGUUUCUUAGAAUUGAGUCUGCAAACUGAAUUUUGCUUCUGAAAACAACAUAGAUCUGUUUUUAAGAACUGUUAUCAAAAAUUGAAAACUUUACCUAGCAUUCCCAGUUUUCCUUGCUUGGUUGCGAUGGAAAAUAUCAAUGAGGAGAAAAUAUUCCGGAAAUUGUACGUCUUUAAGAUACUUUUCUAUUUCAGAGGUAAAUAAGUUGGAUGAAUGGAUGAAGUUCUUUGGCCUGAAGGCUUUUUGUUUUUCUUUCUACCUUCUUUCCUUCCCCUUAUUUCUAAGAUUGGAAUGGACCAUUAAUGUGGCAACUUGAGAAACUGUGAUGAAGAGGUUACUUUAUUGAUAGCAUGGUUCUCUUCAUUGAAUUUUAUCUAUGUCACCAAAUUCAGAGUUUUCUAUACAUAUUCUUUAAAUAGUCUAUGUAACUAGAAAGAAAAUACAAUCUUUUAAUUGAUGCCCUUAUGCAUCUAUUAUAAAUGAUUUUGUUUGUUUGCAGUGCAAAAUGGAAUCUGGGGUGAAGCAUGCUGUGGUGGUGAAAGUUAUGGGUCGAACUGGCUCAAGAGGUCAGGUGACCCAGGUGAGGGUGAAGUUUUUGGAUGACCAGAACAGGUUUAUUAUGAGGAAUGUGAAGGGACCUGUCAGAGAAGGAGACAUUCUCACUCUGCUCGAGUCUGAGAGGGAGGCCAGAAGGUUGCGUUGAUGGGGUCAUCUUUGGCUCCAUUUCCAUGUUUUGAUAGGUAUCUUAUGAGUUUUCCAGUUUCAAG
rnacentral:lncRNA from 1 species